UACAGAGGUCUCGAGCGUUGUUCGGAUUCAUUGGGCGUAAAGGGCGCGUAGGCGGCGGGGUAAGUCUGGUGUGAAAUCUCGGAGCUCAACUCCGAAAUUGCACUGGAUACUGCUCUGCUAGAGGGCUGGAGAGGAGAUCGGAAUUCACGGUGUAGCAGUGAAAUGCGUAGAUAUCUGGAGGAACACCGGUGGCGAAGGCGGCGAUCCUGGACCGGCAUUGACGCUGGAGGCGCGAAAGCCAGGGGAGCAAACGGG
rnacentral:rRNA from 1 species